AGUUUUUGUGUUUCUAUACAGGUGGCAUUCCAUUGCUGAUAUUUUCAGAAUGGUGGUUGGCAAAGGAAAAGUUUUCCAAAAUUGAUUCGUUUAUUUUAUCUUCAUUUCCUGGAGCAACAUUGCAUGGGUGCAACGGGCUGAGUAUUAAAUAUCAGUUGCCAUAUGGAGAGGAUUCCUCGCUAGCUGAUAUUUUUGGACACCUGGAGCGAAACAGGAGUAGACUCGGAGUGGCUGAAUACAGCAUUAGCCAAUCAACACUUGAAACCAUUUUUAACCAUUUUGCCGCAAACCCAUAAUGUACAGUCGUUCACUUAAACAGAGAAAGGUGAUGUCUAACCAGUUUGCAGCAAGUCAAUGAUGUACGAUUAAUCACCAUUCACCACUGGCAUCGUCUUAUCGUCUGGGGAAAUUAUAGUCUUCACCUCAGUUUUUGUAAGUCAUUUGUAAAUGGUUGAAUAUGUUACAGUUCAUAUAAAUCAAAAGCUCUUUGCACGUUAAAAGUAAAUUUUUCCUUCUUGUGGCCUGAUAAGCAAAUCCUGUUAAUGAUGACUGAAUUGCUUGAAAGGAUAUUUUGAGGUUGCUUUUGUAUCGAUGGCAUUUAUAAGAUAAACGUUUUGUACGA